rnacentral:rRNA from 1 species
UAGAAAUGGCUGCUAAUACCGCAUAAGACCACAGUACUGCAUGGUACAGUGGUAAAAACUCCGGUGGUAUGAGAUGGACCCGCGUCUGAUUAGGUAGUUGGUGAGGUAACGGCCCACCAAGCCGACGAUCAGUAGCCGACCUGAGAGGGUGACCGGCCACAUCGGGACUGAGACACGGUCCAGACUCCUACGGGAGGCAGCAGUGGGGAAUAUUGCACAAUGGGCGAAAGCCUGAUGCAGCGACGCCGCGUGAAGGAUGAAGUAUUUCGGUAUGUAAACUUCUAUCAGCAGGGAAGAAAAUGACGGUACCUGACUAAGAAGCCCCGGCUAACUACGUGCCAGCAGCCGCGGUAAUACGUAGGGGGCAAGCGUUAUCCGGAUUUACUGGGUGUAAAGGGAGCGUAGACGGCUGUGCAAGUCUGAAGUGAAAGGCAUGGGCUCAACCUGUGGACUGCUUUGGAAACUGUGCAGCUAGAGUGUCGGAGAGGUAAGUGGAAUUCCUAGUGUAGCGGUGAAAUGCGUAGAUAUCGGGAGGAACACCAGUGGCGAAGGCGGCCUACUGGGCACCAACUGACGCUGAGGCUCGAAAGUGUGGGUAGCAAACAGGAUUAGAUACCCUGGUAG